rnacentral:rRNA from 1 species
UCCUACGGGGGGCAGCAGUGGGGAAUAUUGGGCAAUGGGCGCAAGCCUGACCCAGCAACGCCGCGUGAAGGAAGAAGGCUUUCGGGUUGUAAACUUCUUUUCUCAGGGACGAAGAAAGUGACGGUACCUGAGGAAUAAGCCACGGCUAACUACGUACCAGCAGCCGCGGUAAUACGUAGGUGGCAAGCGUUAUCCGGAUUUAUUGGGUGUAAAGGGCUUGUAGUCGGGUGCGCAAGACAGAUGCGAAAACUCA